UACAGAGGCCCCAAGCGUUACUGAGAAUCACUGGGUUUAAAGGGUGCGUAGGUGGUCCGUUAAGUCUGUUGUGAAAGCCCUUGGCUCAACCAAGGAAUUGCUUCGGAUACUGGCGGACUUGAGGCUAGUAGAGGUCACUGGAACUGACGGUGGAGCGGUGAAAUGCGUAGAUAUCGUCAGGAACGCCGGUGGUGAAGACGGGUGACUGGGCUAGUUCUGACACUGAGGCACGAAAGCGUGGGGAGCGAACGGGAUUAGAUACCCCGGUAGUCCACGCCCUAAACGAUGCAGACUAGACUGCAGCGGGUUACACCCCGUUGCGGUCGGAGCGAAAUUGUUAAGUCUGCCACCUGGGAAGUACGGUCGCAAGGCUAAA
rnacentral:rRNA from 1 species